rnacentral:tRNA from 1 species
GAGGGUACAGCUCAGUGGUAGAGUGUGUGCUUAGCAUGCACGAGGUCCUGGGUUCAAUCCCCAGUACCGCUG